UUCAGAAGGGCAACGGCAGUUGCUUCUGUUGCAAAAAAAGGCGUCAAAUUACAUUCUCCUUCCUGAAGGGCCAUGGCAGAAGGGCAAAUUCUGCCGCUGUAGCAAUAACUACCACUGAUCUUGUUAGCAAAUAGCAAGAGUGUUGUUAUUGAGUCGGAAUGAAGUUGGAGGAACAUAUAUAAGAGUUGGUGGCAUGGCAAUUGGCAAAGGGUUCUGGCCGGGAUCAUCCAUCCUAACAUGCAUGGCGACACUGCUUGGUUGUUAUUACUGAUGCCUCAGUUACAAAUAAUGUUUGUAGAUGAAUGGUACAGGUUUCUAUUAACCGAAGUUUUAACCAAAUUACUGUAAGCUAAGUAACAGUGUUGCCUUAUCUACUUUAACUUGGCAAAAGAAUAAUACCACUAAUAUUAUUAUAUUCGGUGCUCAUCUAUGGCCCCCUUAAUAGGGUUAUUUAAACGGCAAAGUUAACUUUUAAUUCUCUUCAUGUCUACAAUUUUCUAGCAAUAAAGAUAUUUGUUUUGAUUCAAUUUUAUCUUGUUUUACCUAAGUCUUUUUGGGAUUACUUCCAUUUAUUAACGAGAUAAAACACUCAAAACCUCUCCAGAUACACAUGCUUCCCAGGUAGAUGGAGAUACCAGUACGAAUGUUAUUGCUUUGGCUAGUGGCCUCUCAUGGACCGAUAAGAUCUCUUAGCUUCUUUGAAUAGCUCGGAGGCAAACCACUUACAGUGGUGUCUAGAUGCUGUAUUGCAUUACAAAUAUGGUUAUUCUCCAGGUAAUGCAAGGCGUAGCAAACUCUAUAGCUUGGAUGGAGAGGGAGCAACAUGCUUGAUUGAGGUCUGUACAUUUGUUAAAAUGUUAAGGACACUAGUCGUACUAAAUGUGUCUAUAAGUAAAAAACAAUUAU